UACGUAGGGUGCAAGCGUUUGUCCGGAAUUAUUGGGCGUAAAGAGUUCGUAGGCGGUUUGUCGCGUCCGUUGUGAAAGCUUGGGGGCUCAACCCCAAGUCUGCAGUGGAUACGGGCAGACUAGAGUCAGGUAGGGGAGAACGGGAAUUCCUGGUGUAGCGGUGAAAUGACGCAGAUAUCAGGAGGAACACCAGUGGCGAAAGGCGGAUCUCU
rnacentral:rRNA from 1 species